UGAGUAACCUGCCCUUAACUCUGGGAUAAGCCUGGGAAACUGGGUCUAAUACCGGAUAUGACUCCUCAUCGCAUGGUGGGGGGUGGAAAGCUUUAUUGUGGUUUUGGAUGGACUCGCGGCCUAUCAGCUUGUUGGUGAGGUAAUGGCUCACCAAGGCGACGACGGGUAGCCGGCUGAGAGGGUGACCGGCCACACUGGGACUGAGACACGGCCCAGACUCCUAGGGAGCAG
rnacentral:rRNA from 1 species